rnacentral:pre_miRNA from 1 species
UCUUAUGGAUGAGCAAAGAAAGUGGGUUCUUGGGAAGGAAUCUGCCCCUGGUAAAGAUGCUGUGGA